UAGUCAGGCGGGAUAAUCUCUAUCUGUUCCUCCUUUUGGAGGGCAGUAGAAUGUGCUAAUUGGAGUUGCAUAAUACUUGAUUAUAUCUUGUUAAUGAUGUCUGCAAUAUGAUUGCUUUUGAAUCUUUGAAAAAAAAAAUAAAAAUAAUUGCACACUUUCCAAUUCAUGCUAUUAUGGCUUCCUGGAGUGGUGUCUUCUCUGAU
rnacentral:snoRNA from 1 species